GUUCAUUGCAGUAAGGUUGGUCUAGAUGGCCUUUAAAAGUCCCUUCCAACUGAAAUAAUUCUAUGAUCACGUGUAGCCCAGCAAAGAGAAAGGUGUUUCCUGCUUGCCCUUUGUCAGUGAAUCCUGGCAGGAUGGAUGUUAUGCUGGGAUGCUGCAGACCUGCAGCUUGGAGGAGACAGAGGUCAGAGGAGAUAGAUGGAGGCUAAGAGCUGCGAGUCAAAACCUUCAAAGCUGAAGUCCCCACUCUGCCUGCUGGAGAACAGAGUCUGUAAAACUGCAGGGAGGGCUGCUCUGCAGGGCUGGGGGCAGGCCCACUGUCCUUCCCCAACUGCUCACGGGGACUGCAUUCCCUUCAUCUCCAUGAGCUGCUUAUAAAUGCCUUAGCGGUGUAUUUCCCUUUAUCUGAGAAGAGGGAAAGAAACAGUGUUAUUCUGCUCCUUUCCCUUCAGUCCUUUGCAGUUCACACCUGUCUCAUCUACUGUUUUUUUUUUUCCCUUCCCUUUUGCUGUGGCGUGAGGCUCUGUGGCAUGGUGAUAGGACAGAAGAAAUCUUCCUGAGAAAUGUGAAACAGGGCCACACAAACUGAAUAUUGUGUUCCAGGCCUAAGACAGAGCAGCUGGCGAAGGGACCGUGCUCCAGGCUGCCCUGCACCCCUGGUCGUCUCAGAUGGCUUCUCAGGGUGUUGGGUGGGGAUGGCCCUUUGUGUAGGCGAUCCCUAGAGGUGUGCUGACUGCACUGGGUGGAUUUCGGCACAGAAAUCUGAAUUGACUUAUUUCUGACCACUGCUGACCAACCCAAGGAACUUUGUCACCCUUUGAGGAAGGCUGAGAACAUCGUCUGGAGGACUGGAGAUGUGUGCCAUGGCGCUUCUUCAGGAGGAUGUGUUUAUAAAUGUACACAUGCACUAAGUCAUCGUUCAGCCUCUAAGGGGAGCUGGGACUCUGGGAAAUGCAAGAGGACCAGAAACAUUGGAGUACAAAGAUCUGACUUCCUGCAGCAAGAUACAUAGAUGACUGGGUAGAGAAACCCUGUGAAAUGUUCCCAUUGAGGAGAAGGCUGUGCUGGGUGUGCCCCUGAGGAACCAUCAGGGAAUCUGCACAGGGCCAUGGCUGUUAUCAUGGGGCACUGAGGAACUUUACUUGAAGCUCUGUCUUGCACUGCCUUAUGAGGAUGCGACACUGCGUGGAUAUGAGAAGCCGGAAAGGACAGGCAUGGCAUGGAGUUUACUUUGCCAACAUUGGUGUCAAUGUAUACCCAGGAACUGCAAAUACUGGUUGGAAACACGUUGUGCUGUCCAG
rnacentral:lncRNA from 7 species